GAUGAAGAACGUAGUGAAAUGCGAUACGUAAUGUGAAUUGCAGAAUUCAGUGAAUCAUCGAGUCUUUGAACGCACAUUGCGCCCGCCAGUAUUCUGGCGGGCAUGCCUGUUCGAGCGUCAUUUCAACCAUCAAGCCCCCGGCUUGUGUUGGGGACCUGCGGCUGCCGCAGGCCCUGAAAACCAGUGGCGGGCUCGCUAGUCACUCCGAGCGUAGUAAUACAUCUCGCUCAGGGCGUGCUGCGGGUUCCGGCCGUUAAAAAGCCUUAUUUACCCAAGGUUGACCUCGGAUCAGGUAGGAAGACCCGCUGAACUUAAGCAUAUCAAUAAGCGGAGGA
rnacentral:misc_RNA from 1 species